AUUGAACGCUGGCGGUAUGCUUAACACAUGCAAGUCGAACGGUAACAGGACUAGCUUGCUAGUCGCUGACGAGUGGCGGACGGGUGAGUAAUGCGUAGGAAUCUGCCUAUCAAUUCGGGACAACCCGGGGAAACUCGGGCUAAUACCGGAUACGCUCUACGGAGGAAAGUGUGGGAUCGAAAGACCACAUGUUGAUAGAUGAGCCUGCGUCGGAUUAGCUAGUUGGUGGGGUAAAGGCCCACCAAGGCGACGAUCCGUAGCUGGUCUGAGAGGACGACCAGCCACACUGGGACUGAGACACGGCCCAGACUCCUACGGGAGGCAGCAGUGGGGAAUCUUGGACAAUGGGGGCAACCCUGAUCCAGCAAUACCGCGUGUGUGAAGAAGGCCUGCGGGUUGUAAAGCACUUUCGGUGGGGAGGAAGGACUUAGUGUUAAUAGCACUGAGUAUUGACGCUACCCACAUAAGAAGCACCGGCUAACUCUGUGCCAGCCGCCGCCGUAA
rnacentral:rRNA from 1 species